rnacentral:lncRNA from 1 species
CGCCUCCAGGGACAGUGAUCCAUCCAUGGAAAGAAUGGAGGAUCUAGCUUGGGAUUUAGGUUUUCUUUUCCCUAUUUCAGCAAACGAGGCUUAGAAGAUGCAGGCAGAAGCCUGUGUGGUUUUCCUAAGCCAUGCCUACUUGUGGAAACUACCUAUUAUUAUUGUUAUAAUUUAUUCCUUACAAAACUAUUGGAUCAAUUUUAAUCUUAAAUCAAUUUGCACAAGGACUUCUCUCUUUCUGCGCCGUGUGUAGCUUUUGUAUCUCUGGGUUUAUCUGAAUAAUCACAAAAACCAACAGAAACCGAUGACCCAUAACAAGACUCACUUUGCUCUUUAUGUUCUUACCCUGUGUACAAUCUGGAAAUGUCUGUUUUUCAAUGGUGCUGUGAUUGAAAGCCAUUUAGGAUGUUCAGGGGCACACAGAAUACGAGCAGAAAGCUGAUGUUACUUCUUCAUUUCCAGUGAAGUCAGCGUUUUUCCUCGUAUCCAAACGCUGCAGUUUCAAGUUUCCUCUGCUGGCUGCACUUCUUGGGCUUUUACAGUAGAAAAAUCUGGAAACCCCAGUUUUCACUUUGUCUGGUCACCCUGGCCCUCCUUCAAUGACUGCAGACAGGACAGCAGCUGUGACUAAGGAUAGGCAGGAAGGAAGCAACCUCUGGUGUCGGAUGGGGACACAACCAGAGCCUCGACCUUCUGCUGCCAUGCUGUGGAUUGAGCGUUUCAUUCACACAAAUGCACAUUUCCUGGCAGUGCUGGGGCUGGCCUGGAAUCCAGACCUGGUCUGCUCAAGAGCAAGGUCGAUUUGUGGACUGCUCUCCUGGAAGAUGUUAUUAGGAGAAGGCAUGGAGUUGUAUGUGUAAAACAGAUCAAGAUGAUUUUCUCAACAUUGCACCCAAGCAAGUGCUGAGAAACAGGUUGGUGCUUGCCUGCUCAAAAGGUUGGGAAAUCUUGCUCAGCUGGGACUAGACUGCAUGCUUUCACAAGAAGGAUGAUGAGAAGCUGCAAAACUCUGGGCUGAGGACUCCCCCUUCCAAAGCUGCCCCUCACACAUCAGACACAAGGAGUGUGUGACACGCUGCCAGCAGAACCGCUACCUCAGCAGCUUCCACUGACCAGCUCCAAGCAACGUUUCCUGUGUUGGUGCCCAGGAGGGCUGUGGAGCUGCAGUGGUCUCAGGUCCCUGAGACAAUCCAGAGAGAAAUCUUCUGCAUCUUCCCCAUGGCAUUGAAGGCAAGUCUAGGCUGGUCUCCUAGGCUUGAAAGAACAUGAACCCAAGGGCAGUACAAACCUGAGAUUUCUCAGACCCUCAUUGGAAAUGCCAGGCAAAAGUGCCAAAGACACUUGGGAAAACAUACUGUAGAAAAAGAAAAUCGUGAGCAUAUUUUCUCUUUUAUUUGUUGUCUCCCAAAUCCAAACAAGCUUGCUUCCCUUCCUGUAAUGCUGUUUUUGAUAAUCUUAUGCAAAAGGCACUGAAUCUGUUCUCGUUGCUGUCAAUAGCAAGAUGCCUGUUGCUUUUAACGGCUCAGCUCUUAAAACACCGCAUCCCAGUUGUCUGGCUGUGAGCAAUCCCAAGAUACUGAAAUGACAAUAUGGAACCUUUUUCCUCUCUGAAUGUUUCUCUGCAAAGCUUGACCAUUUUGGCUGGGGUAAAACAUGUGUCUAUCUGGGAUUCUUUCCAAGGAUGAGAUUUUGACAGCUGUGCUCAUGUUGGCAAAAAUCCUGACAUCUUGCGCUCCGUUGAAAUAGCAGAUUCUUAGUGGAGAGGGGUGGGAAUCCGAUUUCAUAGAUGAACACUUGUGAAUUGGAGGCUGUGAGCCUGGCUUAGCUCUUUUCACUUGGGGGAAGAGGUUCAGCCCAUCCACUGGGAACAGGGCGGAGCCUUUCUUUCUUCCCAUCCCCACCUGUGGGCACAGAUGGCUGCUGGGCAGUGGGGCUGAUAGGAGCCCUCUGUGCCUCUGCCAACUCUGUGCAGCAGUUUGGGACAUGCCUUGGACUGCACCCACGGAAGUGGGUGUCAACCCGUUUUGAGUACAUGCCUGGUGAUUUUAAUUUACAUAUUGGAUGCUUGGGCAUGGCUGGUGGGUGGUGUUAGCAUGCUCUCAAUGAAAAUUCACCUUUGUGUUUGCGAUCAAAGCUUGGCCUGCUGUUGUUGCCAGGUAGUUCAUGGAAAAACAAGGCCUUGGUAUAGCUUCAAAUAGCCUGUUUGCUUUUGUUUUUUAUUAUUAUUGCUACUGUGAUUAUUGGGUGGUUUUUUUUUUUGUUGGCUUUUUUUCUUUUUUUUGGUAAAAUCUCUGUCUUGACCUGGUGAGAGAUUUCCCAUAAAAGCUAUAAUUACUGUAAGCCAAUGUAUUUCUGCAGUAAGCUUCAUUCCGAUGAGCUGUCAUUUAUUUCUGUCGAGAAUCCACUUAUUUGGAGAUUAUAAUUCCUAUUUCCUCCACAAAUAGGGAAUGGUGGCACAGAAAAGCCAUGUCACAGUGUCCCCCAGGAGCUCCAGCCAAGGAUAGACCAGAGCUGGUUUGGUGUGAGUGCUUACUUUCUAGUGGCCAGUUAGUUCCUUUAUGUUUUACCAAGAAAAAUAAUUAAACAAACAAAAAAUACAUGCUAGGGUUUAAAACCAUGUCAACCAAAACUUUCCAUUGCUGGUGUUUCACUGAAAAUAAGGGAAAAUUAUUUUUUAAGACACAAACAGGACAGAAAGUAACAAGAAUACCCCAAGCAAAACUUACCGCCUGAUGAAUGCAAUUUGAACAGCUUUGCUCAGGAAAAAUCACACCAAAUCAGGCAUUUAUGGCUUUAGUCUGUGGCAAAUGGGGUGUCUUCUCUGUUACUUUAACUUUCAAGGAAGAACAGCUAAACAAGCUUAAGUUACAUACUCAACUGGGCAUUAAGUGAUGUAUAUAUACUUCAGAAAUCACUUGGUGGCCUUUUUGUAUGCUUAAGCACCCAAGCUUAUUUUAAGGAUUUGUCAUGCUGUAGGCCCCUGUUACAUGGUAGAUGAGUCAGAUUUGAAAUGGCUAAAUUUGGGACAAUCCUAGAAGGAGAAAUCUCACAUGCGCUGAGUGCCUGCAUGCUCUGCUGUGAUAGCAAUCAGACAUGCAGAUAAAUUGGAGGAGCUCUGAGCAAUUAAUAUUUAUCUGCAUGCUGAGUGACCAGAGAAAUGUCCACUAACUACAAAGUUAUAUGGAAAAAACUGUACCCCCUUCUACUUUCCUUAUGGGAGAUGGGGUUUAAAACUGUAACGAAGAAUGUGUUACAUGGGCCCUUUCAAACUCCUGCCUUAAUGACAAGGUCUCCCAUUCAUUUUUCAAAAAGUAGGGCAAAUAGCAGUACUUCUGUGAGUACUGGGCUGCCACGUGUAAAAUGCUUCUAAAACCUGUAUUAGCAGGAUUUAAACUCACAUGUCCAUCUCUAUGCUGAGCAAUGCCAGUUGCACAACUGCCAUAAAUUAAAGUGAAAUUCCAACUUUAAGUUGUCUUGUAGUUCUGCAGCAUGUGUUUACUUGGGAAUAGCAUAAGGCAGAUGUCUUCAUCUUUGCUGAUUCUUAACAGGUCACGGGCCUUGACUUUAAAUAACUGAAAGCCUUUAAAAUAAUUUUUAAACAUGCUCAUCCCCCUUGACAGACCCUAACCUUUAGUUGGCCUUAACCAGAAACAUGCAGGAUAACGUGAUUUGAAAACCAACCAUCAUAAACCAUGCAAGAGUUUGAAAUAUAAAGAGUGAUCAUUACCUGGAACCAGUGAAGAGGUUGGAAUAAUCAUUGCUCGUGUUUACACUACAGUAUCUCAGUGGGUUAUGUUCAGUCCCUUAAUGCUAAUGAUUAAAAACCUAGUGGAAACACGUAGUAAUUAGAGAGAGCACGUACUUCUGGAAGCCCAUUCUGAAAGCACAGGGAUGGCUUUGAAGUGGGACUGGACACAGCAACUGCUGCUGAAACAUUGCGAGAGUCAGGAGCGUUUUGCAGCAGGUAGCUGGUAACUGUAUGUAUGAUAACCCGUGUGUUCUGCAGUGUGCAAUGUCUGCCUUCGCUCCACCUUCUAAUUGGCAUCUUGGAUGUCACUGAGACUUCUACAGCUUGCAAAAGGAGCCCAAGGCUGUGGGUGAAGGAUCGUGUAAAUGCUCUUAUUUUUUUCAUUUGUGUAAAGCUGAGCUUUGAUUUCUUCAUGGGGACUUUUUGCAGGAAGUGUGGGGCAGGAGUUUGGGAGGGGCACUGGGCAGGCUCUGUGCCCUGCCAAUGUUUUAACGUGGCUUCCAACAUAAAAGAGUUCUCGAGGAGCAUGCUGUAAACCUCAGGUUUUAGGAGUGUUUCUGUGGGUGAGGGUAUGGGUGUGUGAGGUGGAAUGUAUUCAUUUAGUUUUCUCAUUUAAACAAACAAAAAUACUCUCAUUAUAAUAAGAGAAGGAGGAGUGAUAAGGUUUGUGCCAUAAAAUUGUUUGCUGGGAAAGUUUUUCUGUUUUCCAUUACUUAAUUUCAGCUGAGAAGGAAAAAGCAUGAAAGCUGGGGAUAAAGAAAGCUACUUUCUUGGAUGUGCUUUUAUGAGCGCUAGAGAUGAUCCCUCUCUGGAGGGAGCAAUGCAGCAGCAUUUAAAGAAAGUGGAGGUAGGAAUAGGCACUCCUCGGCAUUCCUUAGCACUCCUUUGGGGUUCAGAGGGACUCAUUUUGGUCGUUGUCCCUCAUAUUUCUACACUGAAUCUCACUGCUUUCCUCUGUAAACACAAAUUCAGCUUCUGUCCCCAUACUGACACUGUGGAGACCUACCAGCUUACAUGCAGUGCCUCCCAUUUCAGUGGUGCUCCUGUGUGUCCCAUGGUGUGUCCCCUUGCAGAUGACCAGCUGUCAGUUAAUACUCAUUAUGGUUCUUAAUCACUUCCCAUAAGCCUGCUCUUUCUUAAACACCACGGACCACGUUCCGAUCCUGCCUGCCACUCAGCAAUGGACGUUUCCAUUGGCUCAGAUGUCUCUCUUGGUUCGUGCCUCCAGGCUGUGUCUAACUCUUGCCACUUGUUCCCACAUAACCUCUCUAAAUACUGCCAUUUGUGUCCCCCCUGUGGCUCACACACUUGAUUCAGGCUGUCAUUGCUGUGCGUCUCAAUUCUUGUGACGUGGCUAAUGCUGGCCUUGACAAAUCCAAUCUCACCCUGUUCACGCAUGUUCUUUCUGCUGCAGAGAACUUCCCUGCCUGCCAUCCUUCUCUCUGCAGCUCUCUUGCAAGCCUGCAUUUUAUCAUAUCAAGCAUGAUCUGCUUGUCUUCACUCCCAGGGUCUUUAUGGCCUUUCUUCACACAAUGUAAUAUUUUCCUUUUGUGGUUAAGAUACCAGUUAUGGUGCUUGACAGGUUCACCAUGCCACUCUCUGCUGCUUUCAAACUUUCAAGGCACCCUCGUGUGUUUCUCCAUGCCAUUAGGGCAGUUCCAUUGCACUCUUUCCAAUUUCAAUCUUUUCUCAGAUGCCUGUAAAACCUUUACAGCAGUGAAGCCGUUGUGCUGAGACCCGCGAUGUCUGUGCUAACUUCAGUGGUUUCUGUGGGGCUCCCCUUGCCCCUAAUUCAUCUGUUGGCUUUUGGCUUUAAGGCUGCCCAAUUGGGAGCCAUCUGCCUGUUCUGGCUUUGCAUGCUGUCAGUUGCUGUGGGUUGCUGUCCCACAAAGGGAAUCUAUGCUGCAGUAAUACAUAAUUGUAAAAAUAGACAAAAAAAAAAAAAAUAAAAAGCAGAUAGCACCAUGUGUUUCUUGUCACCAGCCUGUCAUUAUCCUUGUGACACUGAGCAAGCACUGAUCCUACUGAAAGUUGAAGGUUUUUUAACUUGCUUAUGGGGAAAUGUGGAGGAAUGGAGUCUCAUCUCUAUUCUGUGCCACUUGCAAAGGGCCCUUUGGUCCAUUCACAUGAGGGGAAUAGGAUUAAAAAGCACGAUGCCAGGAAGUGGUACCAGCAUUUAUGCAAUUUCAGUUCUGUGCCUCCUGCCCAUCCUGGUGUUGUCAAAGAUUCCUGCUGAUCGGUGGGCUGUCAGGGCAGCAGGCUCCUGAAGCUCCGUGCUCUAGGAAGCCACUGUGAACAACGACCUUCCAUCCUUUUAUUUUGCCCUUGGAAAAAAAUAAAAAAAUAAAAAAUCAGAUGCUGAAUUGUCAGGCUGCAGUGCGGGGCUGACGGGCCAUUUCAUGUACUUAUUUAUUUAUUUAUUGGUGAAAAGUAGGGGCUCUGGUGAAAACCAAAGCAAAAAAGAAUACGCAGCUCUGUGUCAGGAACAAAGGUCACUGCCUUUGCAGCAGCCAAGUGUGUAGCCCAAGGGCAGUCAACAUCUUGAGCCUUCCACCGUGGCUUUGGGACCUUUUACAAAAGCUGGGCACAUUUCCAGCACCGAGCUGUACGAAGGACAGUUGACCCAUUUUGCACCUGGGGCAUCUCAGCUUUAUUUCAGUUUCACAUAAGGCUUUGUCUAGGUUUAUUUUAUUUAAUGGGCCUCUUUUUUUUUUUUUUUUCCUGGUUUUACUGUCACAGGAAAUUCUCACUGUUCUAUUACCUUUUUCCUGUUGGAACCGGCCUUAAAAUAAAAUGAAUAAAUAAAUACAUAUGCAUACACAUAAAAACAUGCAGACAGGAAAGCCAUUCAGAUCUGGAGAGGCCUUGAUAACGCUGCUGAUGAGGUUGCCAGAGUUUUCCCUGAGUUGGAGCUCAAACAAUUCCCCACCGCCUCCCCAGCGCCUGGGAACUUGGGCUGUGGAAGCUGUGAAGCUUCUAAUUCUGACUACAGGUGUUUGGUUUGAAAGACACCACGUGCCACUUUGUAAUCUCAUUUCGGAAAAAGCUAAUUAAAUAAAAAUACAGAUGUGUUACAGUCCCAGUUCCUGAAAUCUGAAGCGUCCAUCGGUUUAAGUAGAGAAUAAACCUCUCUAGAGGGGUGCUUUCCAUUUGUCUUCUUAAAUAUUAUCUGGUAUCUGUGGUUUAACUAAAGGGUGUUCCAGCUGCCAACGUUUGUUCUGCGCCAUCUCUUCACAGCAGGAACAUUGUGCUUUCACAAAAACAAUAAGGUAGGAGUGCUUAAACUGCUGCUGCUGCUCCAUAUAUCCAAAUCUUCCUGCUAGUGUUUACUCAUUGUGUGUUGUGUUCAGUCAUUCAGAGCUCAGCACCAUUUCCUUCAAGUACUCUGUAUUGUCAAAAUCAUGCCUGGGGAGCAAAGCAGUAGCUAGCCCUGGUCAUCUUGGUUGGAACAAAUUGCGUAGUUGCCGGUCUUGCUCUCUGGACUCCUUAACAUGACAGCUGUAAAUACCUGUAUAUUCUGGAUAAACUGGAUGAAAACCUCAUUUUGAAAAAGGUUAGCUACCUUUGUCAUGGACUGUUUGGGAACAGUGAUGAUAGUAGCAAUGCUAACAAUAACCUAGCUGCGAAAUUCAUCUGGUCUCAGUCUAGCAAAACAUUGAAUCCCAUGCUCGACUUUUUAAGCACAUGUGCAUUCCUGUUCGGCAUAGCUCCUUGCUUUUUAACCACUAGAUUUCAGCAUGUGCUGUUUCUGAUGUUUAUUUGAGCCCCAGUGCAGCACCCAGCUCCUUGUGUAAAGCAUAAAAUAGCCUGGAUCAGAGGGGACCUUGAAGGCCACCCAGUCCCAAUCCCACCCAGCCAUGAACACUUCCAGCAAUGUGGUACUCACACUGCUCUGGGCAGCCUGUGCUGGAGCCUCACCACCCUCCAAGUAAAGAAUUUCCUAAUAUCUAACCUUAAUCUCCCCACUUUUAGUUUAAAACCAUCCCCCCUUGUCCUGUCACAAUCAGACUGUGUAACAAGUUUCUCUCCCAGCAGUUUACAAGCUCCCAUCAAGUAGCAGAAGGCCACAGUAAGGUCUCCAUGGAGCCUUCUCUUCUCCAGACUGAACAAGCCCAACUGCCUCAGCCUUUCAUCACAGGAGAAGUGCUCCAGCCCUCUGUGUACAUGGCUAAAGCUGCAGGUCCAAGCCUCAGGCUGCCACGGGGUUUCCUGAGGCUGCCGUGGUGUGAGAGCAGCAGGGAUGGGAUGGGGUGCCAUGCAGCCCCACAGACAGUGCAAAAGCAACAGCAAGCAGAAGUUCCCUAUGUGCCUCUAACAUUAUCAGCUUUCCAUCUGGAUUCAGUGGUUAUUAUUAAAUGCCUACAAAAUGAGUGAGAAUCCUGCCAUUGUCUCAACUGGUCUUUGAACUGGGGACUCCUAAGCAGGGGUUACAUUAGUCUUCUUUUGUUCUGUAUUCCCAUGAUGCUUUUUUAAAAAAAGAAACUGAAAUAUGGCAAUGCUAGUUUUACCCUGAACAUCAGAGGUGGAAGGGAUGCUUAGAGGAGAUUAAAGUCCCAGGCUUUGCAGUUCCUAUAGUAAGUUAUGACUGUACAUCAGCAGCAGUAAGCAGAGCACAACACACUAGCUAGACCUGUGUUCUAUUCAAGUGCCUGGGGCCCCAACUGAAAUUUAAUAAGCAAAUGUAAAAUUUUAGUGCUUUGGAAUGGAAACUUUAUGGUAACCUCUUUCUGCAGACCCUUUUAAAAUGGUGUAUCACUUGUAUGGUUUGUGCAGUGCACCUUAGAUGCUGAAUCCAGCCUGCUGUUGUGCCAUCAGCACUACCUCUUCCCAGGGUCGGGCAGCAUCUGUGCAGAGCUGUGCCUGGUUCUUGCAGAGGGAUGGCACACCAGGCUGAAGCUAGGUGAAUCUUCUGGUGCUAAAUGCAAUUCUGAGUGGGGAUAUCUUCCCUGCAGCCCCCAUUCACGUGGCUUCUGAUGCUGACAGGUAAGACAAGUAGGAGAAUCUGCAUUGGAGAUUUUUUUUAAACCAUAUUCAGGGAUAUUUACAAAGAGCAGAUCCUGGUUUUGGUGAUGGGACCUAAAGGACAUGACUUCUCCUAGUACUGGUUGUUCUUAAUCCUUGAGUCAUUCUUCAGUUCUCAAAAUACAGAAGAUUUCUAUGAAAUCCUCUGAAUUUAUUAUUGUUUUUAUUUCCCCCCCAAAGGCAAAAAUUCAUUUAUUGCUCAAGGUGUUGCCUGUCAGAGCAUGUCUGAGUCACCACUGAGGAUGCAGAACCAUCUGAUGGGAAAUGAGAAAGAAGAUCCUAAUUUUAAAUAUCCAUUGCCCCUGCUUCCUGUGCAGCAGUAAGUGAGGAAUGUGUGUUCUCCUCUGUUUGUUGCUGGCUUGUGUUUCACUGUAUCUGGUAUUUAGAGUUUCUUCAUUGUGAUGGCUCAUGGAGACUUGUCAUAAGCUGUUCCUUGUCUCUCUCCAAGCAUGAAAAUCAAGUUUUGGGGGUUGUGCUUAGAAUCAGAUCGUAUCAGUAGCUGUUGGCAGGAAUUCACAGAGAUGCCAAAGAGAGCUUUACUUUUUCCCCAGUUCCCUACCACUCUUUCCCAUUGGUACCAGCUGGUACAGUGCAUUUGUCUUGGAUUUUUUCAGUUUACUCAAUACCUCCAACAUCCCUUGCUGUUUUUAGGAGAUGAGGAGGCUGACCAGCACUUAAUAAGUGCUUACCAUCUUAAACAUGGUCUUAAUGUUAUACCUGGCUUAUAUGUGUAAGAGAUAGUUGUGAUUCUUAUGCUGCUGGGGUACCUUCUCUGUGCUUUUUCUGAUUUGGAGCCCAACAUGAGGCUGUCUCAACCUGCAUAUUCAGGUAUGGGUACUGAGGACAGAAAUUACAUCCACUUUUUCAAACUCUCUCCUCACACUUCUAUUUAUUUCAGUUUGCUCCUUUCUCUUUUGCAAAUGGCAGAUAAGUCUUGUCAGUGUUUUUUUGGCUUUGCAGCGAUUUCUUUUCUUUUCUAUCUCCAGUAAUGUGCAAAUCUAAUGGUUUGCUAUUUCUGCUAAAUGUAUUUAUUUCCAAGCUCUCUAAUUCUUGUGCUUUUUUUUGUUGGGUGAGAGAAGAGACAAAUUUCCAGCAGUCAAAAAAUAAACCAUCCGCAGUUCAAGAAAAAAUUGAACCCUUUCUAAUCAUUGCUAUAAAAAGUAAUUGUUGCAUGUGGGUUCCUUGUCAAGAUUGGAAGGCUGACCAGUAGGUCCCCGAGAAGCCUCUAGUGAUGUGUCUGCUGGAUUGGAGGUGUAUCACAGGAUGUCACAUUUAGCAGCUGAUUGUGAAAUGCUUGAGAACAGGAAUUAUAGGAACAUUAUUUAAUGCUAAGUGUUAUCCACAUCAUAUCUGAAGCUUGAACAUGCCAGGAAAACAUCCUUCAUAUACUGCAAAUAAUCUAUCCGAGCUUUCAGGAUCAAUCAUGAAUUGGCUGGAUUUAUAGAAUGGCUUGGGAUGGAAAGAACCUUAAAGACAGAAGUCUUCAGGGGUCCUCCAGCAGACAAACUAUUAACGUGACAGCAAACCUCCACCUAUCUGUGCAGUGUAUAUAUGACUGCUGUACUCAACUCCCCACCAAAGACAUCUAAAAAUCUUCCCUGUGAGGGAAACAGGCAUGGUUAGGAUAUAAGGGAAAGUCCCGGAGGGUGCAGAGGAGAGGCGGGAAGAGACACGAAGGAGGCAAGAGAAACGGAGAAGCUGUGCUGCUCUUUCCCCACCAGGACCAGGACGGGGAUCCCUUCUUGGCAAGCACUGCCCCUUCACUGCUUGCUGAAAAAUACCCAGCACAGCAUUUACUUUGCUAGCACUACUAUCAAAUGCCGGCACGGUCACAGCUACUGCACUGAUCAACGGCAACACCAAAGCUGCUCUACUGCUUGCUUCAAGAAAUCCUUUAUUUGUCACUGCUUGGGAAAACGUCCCAGUGAAAGUCCUCGGGUGCACUCUGGCAGGCAAAUGCCCCAAAUACUGACGCAAUAGCCACGGGGCAGCAAACCUCCACCUAUGCGUGUGCUUCGUGAUGGCACCGGAGAGUCACAGUCACCCCGUGACCUCACAGUGGGCCGCGUUCCUACCCAUCCCCAGCGGGCCCAGCCCGCGCUGAGUCUUGCUGGCGACUCUCGAGGUGCGAACGUCUUCCUGUGGGAGCACGAGCCACUGAGACCUUGCCAGUGCGUGUGACAGCAGAGUUCUGCGAGAGGACUGCGAGUGGAGGCGCGGAGGCUGCUGACUGCUCUGCAAGAGGCAGCCUCCAGCAAAUCCACCCUUGAUUGGAGCCAGGGCAGCCGCAGCCAUGAGCCGCGAGGCGGCUGCCAACAGGAGGCGGGAGGCGUGGGCAUGGCCGCCGGAGGCCCACGAGGAGCCGUGCCCCAUCUGCCUG